rnacentral:rRNA from 1 species
GACGAACGCUGGCGGCGCGCCUAACACAUGCAAGUCGAACGAGCGAGAGAGAGCUUGCUUUCUCAAGCGAGUGGCGAACGGGUGAGUAACGCGUGAGGAACCUGCCUCAAAGAGGGGGACAACAGUUGGAAACGACUGCUAAUACCGCAUAAGCCCACAGGUCGGCAUCGACCAGAGGGAAAAGGAGCAAUCCGCUUUGAGAUGGCCUCGCGUCCGAUUAGCUAGUUGGUGAGGUAAUGGCCCACCAAGGCAACGAUCGGUAGCCGGACUGAGAGGUUGAACGGCCACAUUGGGACUGAGACACGGCCCAGACUCCUACGGGAGGCAGCAGUGGGGAAUAUUGCACAAUGGGGGAAACCCUGAUGCAGCGACGCCGCGUGGAGGAAGAAGGUCUUCGGAUUGUAAACUCCUGUUGUUGAGGAAGAUAAUGACGGUACUCAACAAGGAAGUGACGGCUA